CCUACGGGUGGCUGCAGUAAGGAAUAUUGGUCAAUGGACGAAAGUCUGAACCAGCCAUCCCGCGUGCAGGAUGAAAGCCCUAUGGGUUGUAAACUGCUUUUAGCAGAGAAGAAAAGCUUUCGUUAAUGAGAGUCUGACGGUAUCUGCAGAAUAAGCACCGGCUAACUCCGUGCCAGCAGCCGCGGUAAUACGGAGGGUGCGAGCGUUAUCCGGAAUUACUGGGUCGUAGGCGUAGGUUUGCGGAAGAGGAGAAAUCUUGUCGCGUAACGAUAAAAUUGCCAAGGAUACUGGUACUCUUGAAUUGGGUUGAGGUUAGCGGAAUGUGACAUGUAGCGGUGAAAUGCAUAGAUAUGUCAUGGAACACCAAUUGCGAAGGCAGCUAACUGGGCCUUGAUUGACGCUGAGGCACGAAAGCGUGGGUAGCGAACAGGAUUAGAUACCCCAGUAGUC
rnacentral:rRNA from 1 species